rnacentral:rRNA from 1 species
CGCAGGAAAUUUGAGAGGAGCUGUCCUUAGUACGAGAGGACCGGGAUGGACAUACCGCUGGUGUACCAGUUGUUCUGCCAAGGGCAUAGCUGGGUAGCUACGUAUGGAUGAGAUAAACGCUGAAAGCAUCUAAGUGUGAAACUCGCCUCGAGAUGAGAUUUCCCAUUCGAAAGAAGUAAGACCCCUUAGAGAAGAUGAGGUAGAUAGGCUAGAAGUGGCAGCGCUGUGAAGUGUGAAGCGGACUAGUACUAAUAGGUCGAGGACUUAACCAA